ensembl:piRNA 21ur-10513 ncRNA
UUUUCGCGUCGUCAUCACAAA